UAAUAAUACAACAUCUGCGCCUUUUCGUGACCUUCCAGUCCCUUGGAGCUAUGAGCAAGCUCAUUCCCCUAUAAAAUCAGAGAAGCCAAAUUGCUUGUAGAGCAGCUGUCUCCAUUAUCUGGAGGCAAGGAAAUGCUGGUGGUAGCUCUCUUGGGAUGCGGCCUGGUUUAGCUGUCCCUCUGUGAAAGACCUCGGGAUGAGUGACUGGGCGGUCCUGCAGCCAGAAGGCUCCGCCAGACUUUCUUGUAGGUGCCUCAUUCUCAACCAUCACAUCUCAACCCAGUUGUCACCUCCUCUGAGAAGCCUUCCCUGACCACUUGACCUAGAGUACGUUCCACCCAGAAUUUAAAACAGUACUUGGCAUGUAAACGGGAUUCAUCGAAUGAGUGAAUUCAGCAAAUGUGUAAGUGACCAGAUGAGAGAUGGAAGAUGAGUGCCCAUUCAGCUGUUUGAGGAGAGGCAGGGCUGGUGAAAGCAAAGCAAAACAGACAAGCCAGCAGCCCUGUGAGCUUCCGGAACCCUCCCUGCUUCCUCACACCCCACCCUGGCCAUUUUCUCUGUCUCUACUGGGCAAUCAGUUCUCCUGUCUGAGCUCCUGGAAAGAAAGACCAUUGUUUCAUUUGGCUUUUCUCCCCUCAUGAGAUAG